GAUGAACGCUGGCGGCGUGCCUAAUACAUGCAAGUCGAGCGAACAGACGAGGAGCUUGCUCCUCUGACGUUAGCGGCGGACGGGUGAGUAACACGUGGAUAACCUACCUAUAAGACUGGGAUAACUUCGGGAAACCGGAGCUAAUACCGGAUAAUAUAUUGAACCGCAUGGUUGAAUAGUGAAAGACGGUUUUGCUGUCACUUAUAGAUGGAUCCGCGCCGCAUUAGCUAGUUGGUAAGGUAACGGCUUACCAAGGCAACGAUGCGUAGACGACCUGAGAGGGUGAUCGCCAACACUGGAACUGAGACACGCUCCAGACUCCUACGGGAGGCAGCAGUAGGGAAUCUUCCGCAAUGGGCGAAAGCCUGACGGAGCAACGCCGCGUGAGUGAUGAAGGUCUUCGGAUCGUAAAACUCUGUUAUUAGGGAAGAACAAAUGUGUAAGUAACUAUGCACGUCUUGACGGUACCUAAUCAGAAAGCCACGGCUAACUACGUG
rnacentral:rRNA from 1 species